GUAUGCACUCAUCGGGGAAGGGUGAGAACCUUCGACUAAGGUUCGAUUCGAGCGAAAGCGAGAGAACGUUGCCACAGGCAACGGCCCGAAGGGUGAGGAGCGAAGCGACGAAUAAUCCUUCCCCCACCACCA
rnacentral:sRNA from 1 species